AUGGUUAAAAGUUUACGGAGUAAGUGGAAAAAAAUGCGUGCUGAAAAGAGAAAAAAGAAUGCCCCAAAGGAGCUCAACAGACUUAAAAGUAUUCUCAAAGUAGACUACAAUGUUUUAAUGAAAGAUAUUCGGGAGAUAGCAACUGUGGUGGUACCUAAACAAUGCCAAGAGAAAAUGGAGUGUGUGGCAAACGAUGAUGAAAAAUUUCACAUGAAAAUUGAGACUGAGAUAAAGAGAAACAAAAAGACUCUUCUAGACCAGAAUGGACAGUACCUAGUAUGGAUGAACCAGAGGCAGAGAAAAAGACUGAAGGCAAAACAAGACAGAAGAAAGGAGAAAGGGAAAGCAAAAGCAGCAAAGGCAGUGAAGGGUUUGGCCUGGUAGACCCUCAAAAACUUGGAAAUGCCAUAUGGGACCAAUGUUAGAUUAGAAAGUACACAUUGAUGGGCUGGGGAUG